UUCACUGCAUGAUGAGAACAAUAUAUUUACAGUUAUCCCUGUCUGAUUAAAUUCCCAUGCUUAUUUCUUGUAAUCUGACAGUGAA